AUGUUCUCUCCUUCUCUCCGUAAAUCAGAUCUCUCUCUCUCACUUCUCUCUCUCUUUCUUUCUCUUUUUUUUUUCUCUUACCCAAGCUUCUGUGGCGGACAAACGAUCUCUGUUUCCGGCGUCACUUGAUGUGGCUGGUCUAAAUCCUCUGCCACAUGUUUUAUCUCAUCCGCCUCAGAAACAAUUUAUAUGGACAAGUACACAAAAAAUUCGUUAGUGGACAUGUACACACAAGUUUUGGAGAGCAGGAAAAAUUGGGGAUAAACGUUAGGUUUUUUUGUGUUCAACUUCUAACGAAUCCUACUUACUUUAAUUUCUAUGUACAUGGCAACGUGUAGUCAAUAAGAUCAAAUUGUAUAUGGACUUAUCCAUGUGAACUGGAAAUUACUUUGUAUAU